ensembl:lncRNA
CACCACUUGAAGUGGACAUCUUAAUGCGUUCAUAUGGCGACUUCGAACACAUUUUUAGAAAGAAGUGCAACACCUGCAGCUGCAAAAGAGAGGGAGACGGCGUGGGAGAACAGUGCUGCCCAGGUCAAUGUGUAAGUUUAAAUCACAAUAAUAUUACUGGGAAACUGUUUAAUAGCAGCCUGUUCUGUUAUUUCAUUUAGGUGCAAUCCUGCGGGGGAGAAGCGCAUGUGGCAGCAGCUGAAGAUGAAAUAUAAGAACAUUGUUCAAACAGGUAAGAAAAAGAAAGCAGAUGCCUGUAAAAAGGGAGGUGGCCCAGCAGCACCACCUGUAACGGAGGCAGAGGAGCUGGUCCUAAGCCAGAAUUUGGGAAGGCCAGUGGCUGAGGGAAUCCCUGGAGGGAGCUCAUCCUCUGAGACCACAUCCCAAGACACAAGUGCUUUUAUAUAUAUGCGCGAAUUGUGAUGGUACUAUCUGCCUGGUGGAGCCCCUUCACACCACAACACACCUUGGAACUGAUGAAGAGGAUGAAGCUGUGUCUGCUGCCUUUACAGAGGGGGAUCCAGAAAGACAUCUAGAGGUGUGCCUGAUCAGGAGCAGAGGGUCGUCACCUGACUGAGCCACACCUGCAAUCAGUGGCUCAGCUGCAUUUAACUGCUCUCCUCUCCAGUCUAGACGGGGCUUGCUGACAGGAGCUGGUGUCUGUGGAGAUCCAGCCUCACCUGUGGGUUUUUGUGUCGUUUGGGCCUUGACGGCAUUGUGGACUGCUUUUAGUUGGCAAUAAACCUUUGUUUUCUCACCGUACAGUGGUUGUCUCCGAGCUUUUAUUGCAAUUGUAGAGCCGAGUUGUAACAGACAUGACUUUUAUAGACGGCAGAACUAGGCUACGCUAAAACUUGCCUGCUGACUGAAUGAAUGAGGAAAUCUAAUAGCAUGUGGCUGAAAAAGGGCAGAGACAGACAGAAACUCAAGGUUUACUGCGAUAAACCUGGUCCCAACCAGGUUAGAUUCAUAGUCUGUUACUAUGGUAACUGACCGAGAGCUUCAGUUACCCCUCUUUGUGAAACAGGCUACAGUUACCCCUCUGUCUCUGGUUUGAGUUACCUCCCUUUGUGAAACGGAAAACUGAGUUUCCCUCAUUUCAGGGUAAACGGACUCGGAGUUUUCACUAAACCUGCUUCGUGAAAUGGGCCCCAGAUUCUUUACUGCAGCUUUCUCUUAGAUGCUCAGUCUGUUUUCCUGUCUUUUAAUGCAGUUUUAUUAUCUUAAUGUCUACUUUUAUAUUUUAUUUCUAUGAUUUUAAUGUAUGUCUACCUUUAAAUCAUUUUCUGUGUUUCUUUGCCAUUGUAAAGCACUUUGAAUUGCAUUGUGUAUGAAUUGUGCUAAACAAAAAUAAACUUGCC